rnacentral:rRNA from 1 species
AUACGUAGGGAGCGAGCGUUGUCCGGAAUUACUGGGCGUAAAGGGCGCGUAGGCGGCGCUUCAAGCCGUCUGACAAAUGGGAGGGCUUAACCCUUUUUCGCAGACGAAACUGGAGAGCUUGAGAAGCAGAGAGGCAAACAGAAUUCCUGGUGUAGCGGUGAAAUGCGUAGAUAUCAGGAAGAAUACCAGUGGCGAAGGCGGUUUGCUGGCUGCAUACUGACGCUGAAGCGCGAAAGCCAGGGGAGCAAACGGGAUUAGAUACCCCGGUAGUCCUGGCAGUAAACGAUGUAUGCUGGGUGUGAGACUAGCGAUAGUUUCGUGCCGAAGUUAACGCGAUAAGCAUACCGCCUGGGGAGUACGGUCGCAAGAUUGAAACUCAAAUGAAUUGACGGGG